rnacentral:lncRNA from 1 species
UUUUUUUUUUUUUUUUUUUUUUUUUUUUGUCUUUUUGCCAUUUCUUGGGCCGCUCCCGCGGCAUAUGGGAGGUUCCCAGGCUAAGGGUCAAUCGGAGCUGUAGCUGCCAAGCCUACGCCAGGGCCACAGCAACACGGGAUCCGAGCCGCGUCUGCAACCUACACCACAGCUCACGGCAACGCCGGAUCGUUAACCCACUGAGCAAGGGCAGGGAUAGAACCUGCAACCCUAUGGUUCCAGUCGGAUUCGUUAACCACUGCGCCACGACGGGAACUCCCUCAGCUCAAUAAUUCUAAUAGCUUGCUAUAUGCCAGUCCCUAUACCAAGAAAUUUACAUAUGUUAUCCAUCCACAUCUCAUUUAAUAGAUAUUAGUAUCAUUCUCAUUUUCCUGAUGAGAAAAUUGAAGCCUAGAGUGAUGAACUAACUUGCUCAAAGUUAUAGACUUAGUAAUUAGCAAAGUGGGGGUUUGACUUUAGAUCUGUUUUUCUCUAAAGUUUAGGUUCAGAUAAAUAGAUUUGGGAGCACUGGGAAGGAUAGAUUAAACGGGGGUAGGGGCUAGGGGUACAGGAUGGCCACUUAAGGAGUGAUUUCAGGAUUCAGGAGAGAUAUGAGCAUCUAAAAGAAGGGACUGCAGUAGGUAUAGAGAGGAAGGCAUGGAUAUGAAAUCUGAUAAGAAGGUACACUACAAUAGUGGCAUCCAAAUCUCAAUGAAUAUCAGAUUCUUUGUGGAAGUUUUAUAUAUUUAUUUUUUUAAAUGUAUAUUUCCACAGCAUACCUCAGGCCUUCUUAAUCAGAAUCUUUAGGGCAGGGAUUGGUAUUUUUUUACAAAGCACCCUAGUUCUGUAGUUCCCCCAGGAUCAAGAACCACUGCUCAGUUGACCCUGAUGUUUGGGAUGGAACAUGACAGAUGGAGGAUUCUGGGAUGACAUCCAAAUUCAGAAAUUUUGUGAGUGAGUGAAUUAUGGGCAAGCUCCACUAAGUUAGGAAAUAACAAUAUUUUAGAAGGAUAAGAUGCUGAGUUCAGUUUUGGACAUGUUAAGAUGUCCAGUCCUGUGUAGAGUUGGAUAUCAGAGUCUAAAGCUUGGAGGAGGUGUCAAGGCUGCAAAUUUGGAUAUGGAGGUCAUUGGUAUUUGGAGGGUGGUUUGCUGUGUAUUUUACACAGCAUCUUUGAAAUACCCAAAACCUUCCAUUUUCUUUCAAUAAUCAAAUAGUCACUCUACAUUUUAAAUAUAUUCCCUUUCUGACCCUUGACUGAGUCUAUCUACUCCUUUAUAGUUCCUUCAGAGUCGUGCACUACUUAUUUGCAUCAUCUCAUUGUAUUCAAACCAACAACUUGUUAAUGUAAAAUUUAUGAUCCCUAUGUUUUAGAUGAAGAGAGUUAAGGAGGUUGUGUAACUUGCCCAAAGUAAUGCAGAAUCAAAUGGUUGAGUCAGGAUUUGAGCCUAAGAACCUUUCUUACUCCAUCUUCAGAGCUUUUUGCCUAUUUCACAAUAGAGCUGUUCCUAGAUCAGGAAAAAUACAUUUAGAAAAAAUGAGUUCAGUGCUUUUUGAGAUAUUGGAUGCUUAGUAAAUUAUACUUAGAAAAAUGAGUUUAUGUUUCAUUUCCUGGGAUCAGUAGGAUUGAAUUGAUUAAAGUACCUAUUGACCUGUGUCCAAUAGCACGUGGAAUAGUCUACCUUUCCUGUACUUUCAGAGAAAGACUGAGGAGGGGUAUGGCAUUGGUUUUAUGUCUCAGGAAAUUCUGUUGCAUUGUUUGGCCUUCUAGGAUUUUCCCACUUGCUUUGUGUUGUAUAUCCAACUUUGGGUUGAAACUAAAAUGGGCUCUUGGUAAACUCAAGUUGAAAAUGUCUCAGCACUAAUACUGUUUUUCCUUAGAUUUGGUUAAAUACAGACAUUUACCACAUCCUCCUGGUAGCACUAGUAAAUAUGAGAAGGCCUUGUAAAAAAAAUAUGCAUUUUUAAAAAUGAUGAUUGGCAGGUUAGAGUUGAUACACUAAAAGAAAUUACAUUCUUUUCCACAAGAUGAGUCAUACAUACAGGUGAAACUGUGUGGUAUCUUCUGGGCCAACAACCAUAAUCAUGAUAUUUAGUCUCCAUAAGUGACAGAUGUCUAAGAUAACACUAUACUGAAUGACAGCUCAGGCAACAAUAGGCCAGUUUUUUUGGAAUGAGAACAGAAGCAAUUAUUUUUUCAGAGGGAUCUCAAAUAUGGUAGCAUUAUUAUAGUUUUAAUAAUCUCCAAUAAACUCUGGUUACUAAAAUUCAAGGUGAAAAAAACUACCAGUAUUUAAAAUAUGGAAAUAUUUGGGCUACUAUCAAGUAGAAAAAGUAUGUCAGUUAAUUAAGAGUUAGGUAGCUAGAACUGGCCCCCAGAUCCACAAAAGUGUAAGGUAGGGAAAUCUCACCUAGCUGUGAAAAGGCAACCUGACCAUAAAGUUUGUUUUCCCCAACCCCACCCAGCCAAGUGCAUUCCUUUUGCCCAGGUGUGCCUGUUUAUCCCCAAGUCCCAGACACACCUACUCCCUAUUCUGGCCCCACAUCAAAAAAUAUAUUAAAAGGCCCCUCCCUUUAGACGUCAGAGUAUCUUGGAGUCACUAUCUUGACCUACUUCCCCUCUUCCAUCGUGUCUAGACAAGAAUCCCACCUCUCUUCUAGUCCACAACGGGCACACAGUAGGUGUUAAAUAUAUUUGUUGCCUAGGUUUGGUUUUGACUCAUUUUUCUAUUCCUCUACAUCUCUUAGCCUCUGUCUUUGAUCUCAUUUCAUAACCUCUUGAUUUUGUGCUCUGGAAUUCAGUUGCACAGACCCUCAGGAUAGUUCAGUUGAAAGAAGAUGGGAUGUGGGAUCAGAAAGACUCAAGGUCAAAUCUUUGUUCAGAAUUUAACCAGUUUUGUAAUCUCUAAGAAAUCGCUUGCUUUCUCUGGCCCUCAAUUUUACCUCAUGAUAAUUGGAGUUAAAAAUAUUUGUAUUGUAGAGUUAUUGUUGGGGGUUAAAACCAGAAUAAAUAUCAAGAACUUGGCACUCUUUAGUUGUUCAUUGAAUAUUUCAUUAUGUGUUCCACGGCCAUUUCCUGUCUCCUUAUGUCUCAGUCCAGACCCUGCUUCAGUCAUUUAUUUGGUUCCAUUCAUUCUGGAGUAGGGAAUAAAGCCAAGAUUUAUGCUUAGAAGGCACUAUAAAAAAGCAACUUGAGAGAGGUUGGGUUGGAGGUUUAUAAAUCAUUUCAUUUACUGGUGCUAAAGUUAUUUGUCAGGGACAGAUUAGAACAUUGAUGAGGCCUAUGCACAUGUAAGAUAAAGAUGCCCCUCCACAUAUUCCGCAUGUAAGUUAAAAUUAAAAAAAAUAAAAAUAUUUAACAAAGUUUAGUAAUGUUCUCAUUUUCACUCCACAAUGAUUCCUCAGCAGCUUUUAAAAAAUAUCAAAUUCUUAAAAACAAUAACGACAACAUCUAUUUUAAAAAAUUGUCCUGGGGUUGCCCUUGCAGGCCUUUUCUGCUCACAAUAUCUGAAGUGGAGGUGGAUAGGGGAGAAGGAUCAACCAGUCGAUGAGUGUUUUUAUUUGUCACUGUUUUGUUUUUUUGCUUUUUUAGGGCUGCACCUGUGGCAUAGUUCCCAGACUAGAGGUUGAAUUGGAGCCUCAGCUGCUGGCCUACGUCACAGCCAUAGUAACGUGGGAUCCAAGCCACACCCCAUACCUACACCACAGCUUGUGUCAAUGCCAGAUCUUUAACCUACUUGGAGAGGUCAGGGAUCGAACCUGCAUCCUCAUGGAUACUAGCUGGAUACUACCACUGAGCCACAUUGGGAACUCCACCAAUUAAUGUUUUUAAAUCCCUGAGAGAAAAUGUUUAUUUGGACUCUUAAAAAAAGCUGUUAGCUUCCAAACUACCAUCAUUUGUGUGUAUUUUGUCAGUUUGUCUCAGGCUUCCAUUUUUUGUGAUGCUGAAGAUUUCUCUCCAACAUUAAUCCUUAGCCUGUCUGCAUGCCCUGACUUGUUAAAAUCUUGGGUUAAUGGAAACUCAAGCAAAUGGGGUGGACUGGAUACCCAAUAGCCAUUCCUCUCAUAAUUCCUUGCCAAGACCCCAAUACUGUUGAUUGAGUAACUAGGCCCAUGAUGUUCAUUGGUCCCUCCUUAGCCCCGGUGAGUGAAUGAGGAUUAAGUUAAUGCAAUUCUGGUGUAAUUACUUCUCUUCUUGGCAAUUUUUGCUUUAAUAUUGGUGCAAUCUUGCUUAAGAAGUGUGAGGAAUGUAUGUAUAUGUGUAACUGGGUCACUUUGCUGUGCAGCAGAAAUUAACAGAACAUUGUAAAUCAACAGU